rnacentral:rRNA from 1 species
AGAGCGAACGCUGGCGGCAGGCUUAACACAUGCAAGUCGAGCGCCCAGCAAUGGGAGCGGCGGACGGGUGAGUAACACGUGGGAACAUGCCCUUUGGUACGGGACAACUCAGGGAAACUUGAGCUAAUACCGUAUGAGCCGGUAACGGGAAAGAUUUAUCGCCAAAGGAAUGGCCCGCGUCCGAUUAGCUAGUUGGUGAGGUAAUGGCUCACCAAGGCACCGAUCGGUAGCUGGUUUGAGAGAACGACCAGCCACACUGGGACUGAGACACGGCCCAGACUCCUACGGGAGGCAGCAGUGGGGAAUCUUGGACAAUGGGGGCAACCCUGAUCCAGCCAUGCCGCGUGAGUGAUGAAGGCCUUCGGGUUGUAAAACUCUUUCGACGGGGACGAUAAUGACGGUACCCGUAGAGAAGCUCCGGCUAACUUCGUGCCAGCAGCCGC